GGAUGUGAGGGCGAUCUGGCUGCGACAUCUGUCACCCCACUGAUCGCCAGGGUGGAUUCGGCUGAUCCUGGCCAGGCAGGUGUCCCCUUCCUCCCUCACCACUCCAUGUACGUCCCUCCCGAAGCUGCGCGCUCGGUCGAAGAGGACGACCACCCCCGAUAGAGGAGGACCGUUUCCUCGGUCAAGGGUAUACGAGUAGCUGCGCUCCCCUGCUAGAACCUCCAAACAAGCUCUCAAGGAAUGCCAAGUAUUAACUUUGUGCACAUAUCUUUAUUUGUAUUUGAGAUUAUGUCCCAAGGACAGACUCUC
rnacentral:snRNA from 1 species